AGACCAGCGUUCGAGUUCGGAAGUUCGGACAUCUGAACGUUUGGUCUUUGAGACUGUAACGUGAUAGUGGUUAUGGGACGGUAGACAUUCAACGGGAAUAGCUAAGUGAUCCUUUUUUUUCCCUCGGGAGUGGUGUAUUCAAUUCUUACUUAAUUUUACAUGGAGUAAUUGGUACUGUUGUGAAGCUUUUUACGGAAUAUAAGUUAAGCUUGAGAUUACCAUCGAUUGUUGUCACUUUAGGGGUCAAGUUAUAAUCAACUGGGGUCUUCUGCAAGGAUGAUUCCUGGACGAGUUUGAGUUCCUCUUCUAACGGUAAAGUUUCGCGCAUGAUAAAGCUGCUCUUUAGCAUCAGGAGCGGCGCCCCUGGAGGGGUUGGGGAGCCCCCAUGUUCUGUAUAGUAGGUCAUACGCUGGUUAUUGGGUGGUUUUAAGCCGAUUAAUCAAACUAAGGUGAAUGUAGAUAAACAGAGAAAAGUACGGCUUCGUUAAGAAAGAAAUUGCAGAGCCCGCGUUCUGACGAUGGCUGAGGACGACGACGAUGGUUAGCAACAAACAUGUCUUAUUUUGAAGUGACCUACUUAGGACCCGAGAGCGGAAGGUGCGCUAGAAAACGUCGUCUGGCUCCAGUAUUUUCAAAUGAAAUAUGGAAUAUUUUAGAGGAUUUCAACUGACAUGACUAGAACUAUUAAUAGCCCUGAAGGGUUUCAUAAAGCAUUACAAAAUUGAAUUUCACGCCAA